rnacentral:rRNA from 1 species
AGUUGGUGAAGUGAUUUGUCUGUGUUAAUUCCGUUAACGAGCGAGACCUCAGCCCCUUACUAGCGGCGCGGAAAGUUGCCCGGGAAACCGGGGUCCGCAACGUUUCUUAGGGGGACGGCUUGUAUCUAGCAAGAGGAAGCUUGAGGCAAUAACAGGU